AGCUGACAAAAGCCUUUGUGUGUGUCUUAACAGACUGGCCCUAACAUAAAAAGAAGAAAAAAAAAACUUUAAAAAAAAGUAGAAAAAAAAGAAACAAAAACCUAUAAGUCAAGAAUUUCAACCCUUAGUUACACAACCAACAAGAACUAAAACACACCAACUACCACAAAACAAAACAAAAUAAAUUGCUUCAUAUAUAUAUAUUUGUAUAUAUAUACAAAAAAAAAUAUAUAUAUAUAUAUACACACAUGAUAAACCCAGACCGGUAAAUUCCUAAGCUAUUGGCUUUAACGAUAAACUAUACAAGAAUGCAGUGAAAAGAAACAGACAAGAAUAACAAAGGUAAGAAAA
rnacentral:lncRNA from 1 species